rnacentral:rRNA from 1 species
UACGUAGGGUGCAAGCGUUAAUCGGAAUUACUGGGCGUAAAGCGUGCGCAGGCGGUUUUGUAAGUCUGUCGUGAAAGCCCCGGGCUCAACCUGGGAAUUGCGAUGGAGACUGCAAGGCUUGAAUCUGGCAGAGGGGGGUAGAAUUCCACGUGUAGCGGUGAAAUGCGUAGAGAUGUGGAGGAACACCAAUGGCGAAGGCAGCCUUCUGGGCCAACACUGACGCUCAUGCACGAAAGCGUGGGGAGCAAACAGG